CUACUUACCUGGCAGGGGAGAGACCAUGAUCACGAAGGUGGUUUUCCCAGGGCGGGUCUUCUCCAUUGUACUCUGGAUGUGCUGAUCCCUGCAAUUUCCCCAAAUGUGGGAAACUCGACUGCAUAAUUUGUGGUAAUGGGGAACUGCAUUUGCACUCUCCCCUG
rfam:Nomascus leucogenys chromosome 21, whole genome shotgun sequence.